rnacentral:rRNA from 1 species
AUUGAACGCUGGCGGCAUGCCUUACACAUGCAAGUCGGACGGCAGCACGGGAGCAAUCCUGGUGGCGAGUGGCGAACGGGUGAGUAAUAUAUCGGAACGUGCCCGGUCGUGGGGGAUGACGUAGCGAAAGCUACGCUAAUACCGCAUACGAUCUAUGGAUGAAAGCGGGGGAUCGCAAGACCUCGCGCGAUCGGAGCGGCCGACAUCAGAUUAGGUAGUUGGUGGGGUAAAGGCUCACCAAGCCGACGAUCUGUAGCUGGUCUGAGAGGACGACCAGCCACACUGGGACUGAGACACGGCCCAGACUCCUACGGGAGGCAGCAGUGGGGAAUUUUGGACAAUGGGCGCAAGCCUGAUCCAGCAAUGCUGCGUGCAGGAUGAAGGCCUUCGGGUUGUAAACUGCUUUUGUACGGAGCGAAAAGGCUCUCUCUAAUACAGGGGGCUCAUGACGGUACCGUAAGAAUAAGCACCGGCUAACUACGUGCCAGCCGCCGCGGUAA